AGUGAACGCUGGCGGUAGGCCUAACACAUGCAAGUCGAACGGCAGCACAGGAGAGCUUGCUCUCUGGGUGGCGAGUGGCGGACGGGUGAGGAAUACAUCGGAAUCUACUUUUUCGUGGGGGAUAACGUAGGGAAACUUACGCUAAUACCGCAUUCGACCUACGGGUGAAAGCGGGGGAUCUUCGGACCUUGCGCGAUUGAAUGAGCCGAUGUCGGAUUAGCUAGUUGGCGGGGUAAAGGCCCACCAAGGCGACGAUCCGUAGCUGGUCUGAGGGGAUGAUCAGCCACACUGGAACUGAGACACGGUCCAGACUCCUACGGGAGGCAGCAGUGGGGAAUAUUGGACAAUGGGCGCAAGCCUGAUCCAGCCAUACCGCGUGGGUGAAGAAGGCCUUCGGGUUGUAAAGCCCUUUUGUUGGGAAAGAAAUCCAGCUGGUUAAUACCCGGUUGGGAUGACGGUACCCAAAGAAUAAGCACCGGCUAACUUCGUGCCAGCCGCCGCCGUAA
rnacentral:rRNA from 1 species